ACAAAACAUCGAAGAUCUUCUUCGCGUCGACUUCGUUUCUCUCUCUGUAUGUUUGUCUCUCCCGUUGGAUCAAUUUUAACGAUUAUUUAAAAAUUGGAGAGUACAAGCACCAGAUUUCAACAUUUUUCGAGUACAAUCACCAGUUUGUAACUUUUUUCACUUUGGGUAUCAAAUUGUAAGUCGUGUCCCAGUACAGGUACCAAAAGUUAAUUUAUCCCGUUUAUAUAAUUAUAACGGGAUAAAACUUUUGGUACCUGUACUGGGACACGACUUACAAUUUGAUACCCAAAGUGAAAAAAGUUAUAAAUUGGUGAUUGUACUUGAAAAAUGUUACACUCUAUUAAACAUUAGGGACACGACUUAUAAUUUGGUACCCGAAGUGAAAAAAGUUACAAACUGGUGAUUGUACUCGAAAAAUGUUACACUCCGUUAAACAGUAGGGUUUCAUAUUUAUUCUGUUUGAAAAUUAGGGUUCUCUUCUUCUGUCCUUCUUCUUCUCUCAUUCUUCUUGUCUCGAUUCUCCAUUGAUUACUGGUUCCCAUAUAUUUAUUAAAGGGUUUUCAGUGUUUAAUUAAAAGGAUGAGCUCGUCUUGGAGUGGAAUCGUAAAUGAAAUCGGGGAAGAAGAUUGUAGUUCAUGCAAUAAAAAUGAAUGGAUUACACCAGAGUUCCCAAGUCGGUGCCACUGUGGAGCAAUGGUGCGAAUGUGGGAGGCAAAGAAAGAUGAAACAAAACAUCGAGAAUCUUCUUCGCGUCGACUUCGUUUCUCUCUCUGUAUAUUUGUCUCUCCCGUUGGAUCAAUCUUAACGAUUAUUUAAAAAUUGAAAAGUACAAGCAUUUGAUUUCAACAUUUUUCGAGCACAAUCAUCAGUUUGUAACUUUUUUCACUUCGGGUACCAAAUUGUAAGUCGUAUCCCUAAUAUUUAACGGAGUGUAACAUUUUUUUAGUACAAUUACCAUUUUGUAACUUUUUUCACUUCGGGUACCAAAUUGUAAGUCGUGUUCCAGUAUAGGUACAAAAAGUUGAUUUAUCCUGAUUGUAAUCAGACCAAUGAAUAAGAUUGAGGUCAGGAGGUCUAUACGUAUGUUUAUAUAACUUCUCAUACAUCUUAUAUAAAGUAUGAAAAUAUAAUACUGAUCAAGAGGAACACUCCUUUAGGUGCAACCUCUAUUUGUUGAAAACUCAGUAUCGUCUUUACAUUCCAACCACCCUUUCAAACCACGCUAAAUAACUGAGCAGCAAAGUGACUUGUUACUUGCAAAUAGACUUCUAAUUUUUAUCAAACACUCUUAUUUAAGACUAGAAAGCCAUGUUUAAUUCUCUGUUAAGCCAAUGGUAAUCAAGAAUUUCAACUCCUUUGUGUGUAGUUUGUUUGCUCAACUACGAGUGCAGCAGGUCUGUAAGGAAUCAUCAAAUGCAGUGACCGAAAAAUUCAAUGCUCCGGCUAAGCUUCAGGAGAGACCGAAUGAUGGCCAUGGACUGGAUGAAACUCUUGAGGGAGAAUUAUGUUGCGUGUGUUUGUCAAGAUUGAAUGAGGGAGAGGGUGUUAGAGUUUAUGCCCUAGAGGCC
rnacentral:lncRNA from 1 species